rnacentral:rRNA from 1 species
CAUACGACUCUCGGCAACGGAUAUCUCGGCUCUCGCAUCGAUGAAGAACGUAGCGAAAUGCGAUACUUGGUGUGAAUUGCAGAAUCCCGUGAACCAUCGAGUCUUUGAACGCAAGUUGCGCCCGAGGCCUUUCGGUCGAGGGCACGCCUGCCUGGGCGUCA